rnacentral:rRNA from 1 species
CCUACGGGUGGCAGCAGUAGGGAAUUUUCGUCAAUGGGCGCGAGCCUGAACGAGCAAUGCCGCGUGAACGAGGAAGGUCUUCGGGUCGGAAAGUUCUGUUUGAGGGGAAAAAAAACGGAGAGAGGAAAUGCUUUCUGAUUUAUAUUACCCUUCAGGGAAGUCACGGCUAACUACGUGCCAGCAGCCGCGGUACUACGUAGGUGUCGAGCGUUAUCCGGAUUGAUUGGGCGUAAAGGGUGCGUAGGCGGCCUGCUAAGUCUGGAGUGAAAGGUACCGGCUCAACCGGUACAGGCUCUGGAAACUGGCGGGCUAGAGAGCAGGAGAGGGCGGUGGAAAUCGAGGUGUAGCGGUAAAAUGCGUAGAUAUCGGGAAGAACACCAGUGGCGAAGGCGGCAGACUGGCCUGUUACUGACGCUGAGGCACGAAAGUGUGGGGAGCAAAUAGGAUUAGAUACCCUAGUAGUC